AUUGAACGCUGGCGGAAUGCUUUACACAUGCAAGUCGAACGGCAGCACGGACUUCGGUCUGGUGGCGAGUGGCGAACGGGUGAGUAAUGUAUCGGAACGUGCCCAGUCGUGGGGGAUAACGUAGUGAAAAUUACGCUAAUACCGCAUACGAUCUAUGGAUGAAAGCGGGGGAUCGCAAGACCUCGCGCGAUUGGAGCGGCCGAUAUCAGAUUAGGUAGUUGGUGGGGUAAAGGCCCCCCAAGCCAACGAUCUGUAGCUGGUCUGAGAGGACGACCCGCCACACUGGAACUGAGACACGGUCCAGACUCCUACGGGAGGCAGUAGUGGGGAAUUUUGGACCAUGGGCGAAAGCCUGAUCCAGCCAUUCCGCGUGCAGGAUGAAGGCCCUCAGGUUGUAAACUGCUUUUGUACAGAACGAAAAGGUUUCUACUAAUACUAGGAGCUCAUGACGGUACUGUAAGAAUAAGCACCGGCUAACUACGUGCCAGCAGCCGCAGUAA
rnacentral:rRNA from 1 species